AGUACCAGGCAACAUGGAAUUUUCCAUUUCUUUCUUAUUCCAAAGUUCCAGGCUGAAAUGCAGCUAUGCAUCUUUAUUGAAGGAUAGAAGCAAAAGACCGCAGCUGGAGAAGGGAUCUCCAGGCAAACCGCCUCCAUUUGCAUGAACACAACUCUCGGCUCCGCUGUGCUGGUGGGGACCACUCUGUAUGGACUGCAGAGUUCCCAGACCCGGACCACCGUGCUGGACUUUUGCUAAUGCCAGGAGCUGGCUUCUGUUCUGUCCCAUUGGGUUCUGACCGCGGUCAAGAGCGCUGCUUAAGGUUGUGAGCUUUCCUUUGAAGAGACUACAACAGAAACGCAGGCUGGGCUACUCACCCUAACCUUACCCUCUCGGUAUGGAGUGAAAUGUGGACAGGAGCAUUGCCUGGAGUUUCUCUGCUUCUCCAGCCACAUCCUCAUGAACAAAUGAAUUCCUGAGUACUGCAUUUCCCAGGUAGCUGGGUUGGACCGAACCUGGGCCUUCUCCAGUACAGCUGCUGCAGACUGAACUUCAAACGACCCCCAAGCCCCUUGUACUGAAGGCUGGAUUUCUACUCUUAGAGGAUGAAGUGAGGUGCUUGGCUGUGCCGCAGCUGAUGCCCACACUCACCGAGGACGGAAAGCCACGGGACCUCCGACCAGGAACUGAGCCACUGGCAUGACUUGUACUGUACCUUGAAGCUGACCAGCCCAGUCGUGCAUCAUGAUGAGACUUCUGGGACACAGCACCAGAUGAAAUAAACCCUCUCCACUCUCUCUGCAACUGUGAAUCUUGACAAUACUAAACACAGAAUAUAAAUGUCUAUAACUCAUUCAUAUCACCUAGAACUCAGUGAGUUGUAAAAUUAUUCUUCAUGUCUCACUAAAAUCAAGUCUGAACUCCAGGGUUAAUUUACUUUUUCCUGUGCAGAGAUCUGGAGAAGUCUAGGCUGGGCACACUCACCAGCCAGCGCUGCCUCUGCUCGAUUAGUGUAACCCAUUCUUCCAGACGCAUUAUGCAUGGAGCGUUUGAGUUUCCUUUAUGGAUGAAGUUGGAUAUAAAUAGUUAACUAUCUGCCUUUUCUCCCUCCCACAAUCAAGGACUACCAAUGAAAGAGUACAGAAAUUUAAACUCAGGGCCUUUGUACUGAACUUGGCCUCUUUGGUUUUUAAUUUUGGUACAGGAUCUCCCUAAGUUGCGAAGUUCCUCAAGAGGAGCUAUAGUGUGAGCUCUUCCUGCCUCAGCCUCUCUGCAAGCUAGGCUUAUGGAUUCCAAGAUUUUAAAAGAAAUUGAACACAGAUUGGUGGGACACACACAACUGAAUAAGUCAUCCAUCAACUAGGAACCAGCUUUGACUUUGCACAAGGUAGAAAGAUGUUUCCAUACUGUUCAGCCCUGAAAUUUCCCAGAGUUAUUUAUAACAGCAGCCAACAGAACACAAAUUCUAUGUCACUUUGGAUUCUAACUUGAACAUUUUCCCAUUAGGCACUGACAGUUCCAGUCAAAUUUGAAUCCUUUCCAGUCAUUAGAGUCACAUGUUAAGGAUACAGACUUAUUUUUAAAUUUUUCUUUCCCUGGCGAUAUUCACAUGCGGCUAGAGAGGCACGUGGCUCCCAGAAGGGUCCUAUCUCAGAGAUGCUUGAGGUCUAGUAAGGUUAGAAAUAGCAGGGCUGUCAAAGUGCAAAGGUUCAAAAUGGUAAUAUUUCAUAAAGAGCAGAUCUUUCAUUUUUAUGAAUGACAUGUUUACAGUGUCAAAAAUUUGAUUUAAAGAUGGAGGAGCUUUAGAAAUAAUGCGG